AGUAAAGUUGAGCUUGAUAACUGACUAAUAAUUCUCAAUAUUCAAGUUCAGUGUUUCGUCUUUUGUUAUGUAAACAAAAUCAAUUGUAGGCUUAGGUAAAGCUAGCCGUACCUAACAGCCGUACCUAAGCCGUACCUUAGCCGUACGUAACUACACUUUUUUUUUAAGGUGAGGUAAUGUAUUUUAAUGGAAAAAACUGAGCUAAUCGUAGUGGUAAAUUUGUUGUGUCACUGAAUAAUUUCUGUUUCUCAAUCGCCAAUGAACCUGCAAAAUACGAAAAAUGUUAACGAAACAUCUUGCUCUUAUAGAAACCAAACAGGGGAGAGCGCAGGAAGGUGAUUCCCAAAUCGACAAAAUUAAGUACGGCUGGCAAUAAAAAGGUGGUUAGUACGAGCGGUGAACUUCAAUGCGACUUAUCAAGUAAAGUAAAAUAAAGGGGAUAGGACCAAAUCUGUAACAGAUCUAUCCGAUCUUGAUGCAAUAUAUCGAAACGCUAACAACUGUAAAAGAAAGAUGUCGAUAAAAUCAAAGGUCGUAAAGAGUGAUUUAGAGGUAGCUGGGAUAGAUACAGGCCAGUUCUGUUUAAAGUCAGUCAGUGUGACUCUUAACCCAAUUGCCAAACAAUUCACAAAAAUACUGGGUAAGAACUUGGCCAGGUCUUCCUUCCUUGACGCUGCUAAUGACAUUCUCUCCAUAUUACUUCGAUAUUGUCGACUUCUAAUGAUAGUGGCGAUGCUUUUAUCGAAGGUUUCAUCAUUGACUGUUGCACAACAGUAAGAACGUAUAAAGGACGCUUCAGAACAAAUAAAUUUCAAAACAUGCUUACAUAUAUUUUCAGAAAGUUGAUAUGAAAUAUCAUUUUGAAAAAGACGUUGCAUGUCUUUAACUACUUUGUUUGUUGCAAUCUCCUUUACAAAAA